rnacentral:rRNA from 1 species
GACAGAGGGUGCAAACGUUGUUCGGAAUUACUGGGCGUAAAGCGCGUGUAGGCGGCAGGGCAAGUCGGAUGUGAAAGCCCACGGCUCAACCUUGGAAGUGCACCCGAAACUGCCUAGCUAGAGUCUCGGAGAGGAAGGUGGAAUGCUUGGUGUAGAGGUGAAAUUCGUAGAUAUCAAGCGGAACACCGGUGGCGAAGGCGGCCUUCUGGACGAUGACUGACGCUGAGACGCGAAAGCGUGGGGAGCGAACAGG